rnacentral:rRNA from 1 species
GACGAACGCUGGCGGCGUGCUUAACACAUGCAAGUCGAACGGAAAGGCCCUGCUUUUGUGGGGUGCUCGAGUGGCGAACGGGUGAGUAACACGUGAGUAACCUGCCCUUGACUUUGGGAUAACUUCAGGAAACUGGGGCUAAUACCGGAUAGGAGCUCCUGCUGCAUGGUGGGGGUUGGAAAGUUUCGGCGGUUGGGGAUGGACUCGCGGCUUAUCAGCUUGUUGGUGGGGUAGUGGCUUACCAAGGCUUUGACGGGUAGCCGGCCUGAGCGGGUGACCGGCCACAUUGGGACUGAGAUACGGCCCAGACUCCUACGGGAGGCAGCAGUGGGGAAUAUUACACAAUGGGCGGGAGCCUGAUGCAGCAACCCCGCGUGCGGGAUGACGGCCUUCGGGUUGUAAACCGCUUUCGCCUGUGACGAAGCGUGAGUGACGGUAAUGGGUAAAGAAGCACCGGCUAACUACGUG